CUGGAUUGGGCUCUGUCAGGCUCCAGCCUGCUCUGGAGUUUUCACUAGGUAGAAAUCAACAUGGGCCUCAGUGUGGCAAAGUUGGCAAUUCUAAGAAAAAGUUUGUAUUUCAAUAUCUGAUGAAUUCAUCUGAUUUCCCCAGAAGGUUUCCUACUGUGGCUGGUGAGCAUGGCUGUGCCUGGCAUGGGACUGGCGGCACUGGCCUGACACCCCUGGGGCCUGCCACAAAGCUGUGAAUGGGGAAGCCAGCAGGCACUCAGGGUGGUGCCAUGGCCUCAUGGGAACUCACUGCAGCCAUGAGCCUUAGCAUCCGCGUGAACUCUGUGCAAGAGAUCCCUCGAUGCCUGCAGUCCCUUAGGAAAGGGAUUGCAGAUGUGUGGCAAAGGAUUUCUCCAGUGAUGAGUUUGAAAGUCUUGCUUGGGGCCAUAUGGCAUGGAUAUGCCAGAAGGAAAUUAUAUACUGCUCUGUUUCUACUCAACUGCUUUUCGUUGUAAAACUGAGGCUUGGUGAGAGGAAGUUGCAGCCCAAAGCCCUAGCAGGUAAAUUGGGCCCUGACUGCUGUCUGUUUUCUAGCUCUGGAUGUGUGUUCUCUGCAGCGGAUGCCUCCCUGGACAAGGUGUUAAAAUUACAACAAACUGAAUUUUGCAGCACUUAAUAGACUUUGUUUAUAAUUUUAGAAUUGUGCAAUAAAUUGGACCAAAAUGGUUCAGAA
rnacentral:lncRNA from 1 species